CCCUGGAUUUGGGAGCAAUUAAUUACAAGCUGCCUGUGGCCUGGUCACAGAACUGCAGGGAGAGGAUGCUAAAGCCUUUCCUUGUAUCUGGGGUCCUUUCCCGUCCCUGCCAAGUCUGAUGCUUUGGAACA
rnacentral:snoRNA from 1 species